AGCAUUCUCUCUAUAGGCCACGUGCAAGUCAUCAAAAUCCUGCAUCCUGUAAAAGUUAAGAAAGUGAUCCUGAAAAUACAAACCAUUCAAAUCUUAGUCUCAAUGCAAAAUAUGAUAAAAUAAAAUAAAAAUCAAAUUAAAUAAAUGCAAAAAAGUAAAAUGAAAGAAAAACCAUGGGCUGCCUCCCACGCAGCGCUUGUUUAACGUCAAUAGCUUG
rnacentral:lncRNA from 1 species